CAGUGGCGAACGGGUGAGUAACACGUGAGUAACCUGCCCCCGACUCUGGGAUAACUGCUAGAAAUGGUAGCUAAUACCGGAUAUGACGACUGGCCGCAUGGUCUGGUCGUGGAAAGAAUUUCGGUUGGGGAUGGACUCGCGGCCUAUCAGGUUGUUGGUGAGGUAAUGGCUCACCAAGCCUACGACGGGUAGCCGGCCUGAGAGGGUGACCGGCCACACUGGGACUGAGACACGGCCCAGACUCCUACGGGAGGCAGCAGUGGGGAAUAUUGCACAAUGGGCGCAAGCCUGAUGCAGCAACGCCGCGUGAGGGAUGACGGCCUUCGGGUUGUAAACCUCUUUUAGUAGGGAAGAAGCGAAAGUGACGGUACCUGCAGAAAAAGCACCGGCUAACUACGUGCCAGCAGCCGCGGUAAUACGUAGGGUGCAAGCGUUGUCCGGAAUUAUUGGGCGUAAAGAGCUCGUAGGCGGUUUGUCGCGUCUGCUGUGAAAUCCCGAGGCUCAACCUCGGGUCUGCAGUGGGUACGGGCAGACUAGAGUGCGGUAGGGGAGAUUGGAAUUCCUGGUGUAGCGGUGGAAUGCGCAGAUAUCAGGAGGAACACCGAUGGCGAAGGCAGAUCUCUGGGCCGUAACUGACGCUGAGGAGCGAAAGCAUGGGGAGCGAACAGGAUUAGAUACCCUGGUAGUCCAUGCCGUAAACGUUGGGAACUAGAUGUGGGGACCAUUCCACGGUCUCCGUGUCGCAGCUAACGCAUUAAGUUCCCCGCCUGGGGAGUACGGCCGCAAGGCUAAAACUC
rnacentral:rRNA from 1 species